rnacentral:rRNA from 2 species
AACGGGGGGGACAAGCGUUAUUCUUAAGGAUUGGGCGUAAAGGGCGCGUAGGUGGUUAAUUAAGUUUUUAGUGAAAGACCCUGGGCUAAACUCGGGCAGCGCUAUUAAUACUAAUUAACUAGAGUUUAUUGGAAGAUAGUGGUACUCUUAAUCCAGAGGUGAAAUUCGGCGAGAUUAAUGGGGACCCUCAAUAGGCGAUAGCGACUAUCUAUGAUAAACUGACACUGAGGUGCGAAAGCAUGGGGAGCAAACAGG